rnacentral:rRNA from 1 species
AUUGAACGCUGGCGGCAUGCCUUACACAUGCAAGUCGAACGGCAGCGGGGGAGAAGCUUGCUUUUCCUGCCGGCGAGUGGCGAACGGGUGAGUAAUACAUCGGAACGUGCCCUGUAGUGGGGGAUAACUAGUCGAAAGAUUAGCUAAUACCGCAUACGACCUGAGGGGGAAAGUGGGGGACCGCAAGGCCUCAUGCUAUAGGAGCGGCCGAGGUCUGAUUAGCCAGUUGGUGGGAUAAAGGCCUACCAAGGCGACGAUCAGUAGCUGGUCUGAGAGGACGAUCAGCCACACUGGGACUGAGACACGGCCCAGACUCCUACGGGAGGCAGCAGUGGGGAAUUUUGGACAAGGGGCGAAAGCCUGAUCCAGCAAUGCCGCGUGUGUGAAGAAGGCCUUCGGGUUGUAAAGCACUUUUGUCCGGAAAGAAAUGGCUCUGGUUAAUACCUGGGGUCGAUGACGGUACCGGAAGAAUAAGGACCGGCUAACUACGUGCCAGCCGCCGCCGUAA